AUUGAACGCUGGCGGCAGGCCUAACACAUGCAAGUCGCGCGAGCGGCGGACGGGUGAGUAAUGUCUGGGGAACUGCCUGAUGGAGGGGGAUAACUACUGGAAACGGUAGCUAAUAACGCAUACCAUCAGAUGGGCCCAGAGGGGAUUAGCGAGUAGGUUGGGUAAGGGCCCACCUAGGCGACUAUCCCUAGCUGGUCUGAGAGUAAGACCAGCCACACUGGAACUGAGACACGGUCCAGACACCUACGGGAGGCAGCAGUGUGGAAUAUUGGACAAUGGGCGCAAGCCUGAUGCAGCCAUGCCGCGUGUGUGAAGAAGGCCUUCGGGUUGUAAAGCACUUUCAGCGGGGAGUCGUUACCCGCAGAAGAAGCACCGGCUAACUCCGUGCCAGCAGCCGCGGUAAUUC
rnacentral:rRNA from 1 species